AGUUAGUCAAGCUUUCUUUUGCUUAUGGGUGCAAGGACCCAAUUCUACCUCAGUGAUCAAGAGUGACUCCUUAUUUCAGAACAUGUUAUAUAAUUGGGAUGGUGAAGACACUGCAGAAACUCAUCUGGUAUUUUCAGCUGAUCACCGUGAUUUACAUGGAGGUUAAGUGUUCUGAGGCGUAAGGAAGCUCCAGCUCCUCGGCCGUCGGGGUGUUGAGGGCACCGUCCAGGCUGUGUCGGGGGCCAGGACUGAGAGUCCUGCCGGGAGUGCAGAAUCGGACCCCGCCCGGCAGGGAAACGUUCUAACUCCUCAACACCGCAGGCCUCGGAGCACCGGGAGUCACUCACGAGCGGGGAGUUCGCCCAUUGUUCGGUGGAAGAUAACCUCUCGUCUAAUUCUUUGCAAUUCCCGUGUAAACUGCCCUAAGCACAGACAACGAGCAGAGUCAUCAGUGAACCAGAGAGAGAAGGCAGGCUGGCCUCUCUCCCGCGCCCGCCCUCUGCGCCCCAUCCCAACCGUCGGGCCAGCGUCGGGGAGCGCAGAGGCCGCCAGGCAGCGGCCUAAAACGUGUCGGGGUCGGGGCAGUUAGUCACCUCCUGGUACGCCUCCACUCCCUCGGCUCCCUGUGAGGUAGACCCCGCCGCCGUCACCAGCAACCCAGCCCGAGGCCGGCAUCCAUUUCCUCCCGGCGCCAGCGCAGCGGGCGCGCGGGCGGCGACCUGAGGCCAGAAGAUGGCGGCCGCGCCAGGCUCCGAGGCCGACGGAGCGCGGCGGGCGCAGAGCUGGCAGCGGCGCUGAGCAGGCUCUCCGGAGGGAGGGCGGCGCAGCGGGGUUAAGGGGAGCGGGCGACCAAGAGGGCACCGGGCACCGGAAGAGCCCCCGCCGCGCAACGGCCGCAGACGGCGCGGGCGGAAGCGGCCUGGCUGGGCGUCCGGCGCCGCCCGCCGCGGGGGAGCACGCUUCCUCUCUCCUCCGAGGCCGUGGCCCAGCUCCCCCGGCCCGCGGGCCUCCCGGCGGUCUCCGGCCUGAGAGGGCUGCGGCGCGCCCCGUCGCCCCGUGACGCAGGAAGCAGCGCGGCCGACGCCCUUCCCCGCGCGGGCCGGCCGCCAACGCCCGAGGCCGCGCCCGCCGCUCGCGCUCCGGACGGGCCGCGCGGGCGCCCACCCGCGAGAAAGGGGCGAGCCCUCACGAAGGCCGCCUCCCCCGGCGGGCGCGGCCGGGUGUCCGCAGACGACACUCGCAGCGCCGCUUCCACGGAAGGUCAGCGCCGGGUUCCGGAGCCUCCCCCUGUGGACCGGCCAGGCUCCGCGCGGGGCCGGCGUUCUCUCCAAACAGCUCCCCGGCCUGUCCUCGGCCCCUCUCGGCCAGCGGGCUUCCGCGAGGCCGCGGGGAGAGCACGCGCCGCGGCGUCCCCGCCCGGAGCCCGAGACAGUCCGAGCUGGGCGCCGCGAAGCACACUUGACCGGGCUGAGGAGGGAUUCGGAGGCCUCGCGGCACGACACUGGGGAAGGAAGGAACUGUUCAGGCCAUUUAGCUUAUUUCCCUGGAGCUGGCUCCUGGCCAGCAAAGAGCGUCCCGGGAAAAG
ensembl:lncRNA